UAUUACACAGUUAUUUAUUAAAAUAUUAAAUUUGUAUUGUGGACACAAGUAAAAAGAAUUACUGAGUUGCCAUUAGCAUGGAUUUGAACAUAGAUAUUAUCUGUACUUUGUAAGUUGAACGGUUCCCAGCCACCUUGUUCUCAAGAAUCAGUAUAACUUGUACUUUCUAAGUAUGACUUCCAUGCUGGAAAAGGAAGCUUUCCUACCUUCAGUUGUCAACUGGU